rnacentral:ncRNA from 1 species
AGAAAGUUUUAUUCUUGCUUAUCAUAUUAGGUUGUUGUAAAAAUUAUAUGAAUUCUGUUAAAUUUUUUGUUUUUUCAGUAAAAAAUGUUAUUAAUUAAUUUUAUUCUUAUUUAGAUAUAUAAUAUAGAUAGAUUAAAAUUGUGCCAGCAUUCGCGGUUAUACAAUUUAUUUUAUUUAAUAAAUUAAGUUAAAAUUAUUUAAUUUUUUGAAUUAAUAUUUUUUAUAUUUAGGUGGAAUUUGUUUUUAAAAAUAUAUUCUUUAUAAUUUUUUAUAAAUUUUAAUUUAAGACUAGGAUUAGAUACCCUAUUAUUUUUAACUUAAUAAUUUACUUGAAUAUUAAUAGUUUAUUUUCUAUAAAACUCAAAGAAUUUGGCGGUAGUUUAUAUUUUUAGAGGAAUCUGGUUUUAAUUGAUAAACCCCGAUAUUUUUUACUUUUUAUUUAUUUGUAUAUCUCUAUAUUUUUGGAAUGUUUUUUUUAUAUAUUUUCUUUUUUUUUAAAAAAUUUAUAUUAGGUCAAGGUGCAGUUUUAAAAAAGUAAAUUUGGAUUACUUUAAUUUUAAAUAAUUAUUAUUAUAUUUAAUAUUAUUAAGUUAUUUUUAUAGAAUUUAAUAGUAAAUUUUAAAUAAUUAUUUAAAUUGAAUUUUACACUAAAUUUAUGUACAUAUUGCCCGUCACUCUCAUUUUAGUUGAGAUAAGUCGUAACAAAGUAAUUUUACUGGAAAGUAAAAUUAGAAAGU